rnacentral:rRNA from 1 species
CUGUACCACCUCGAAUGUGCCCAAUCUUGUCUGAUCUCAGAAGCUGAGCAGGGUCGGGCCUGGCUAGUACUUGGAUGGGAGAAUUGAUUCCACAAUUCAUUUACCAGGCCCAGGGAGCACAGGUGUAGA